rnacentral:rRNA from 1 species
UAACAUGAUUGAACUGAAGAGUUUGAUCCUGGCUCAGAUUGAACGCUGGCGGCAUGCCUAACACAUGCAAGUCGAACGGUAACAGGCGAAAGCUUGCUUUUGCGCUGACGAGUGGCGAACGGGUGAGUAAUGCUUAGGAAUCUGCCCAGUAG